GACGAACGCUGGCGGCGUGCUUAACACAUGCAAGUCGAACGGAAAGGCCCUGCUUUUGUGGGGUGCUCGAGUGGCGAACGGGUGAGUAACACGUGAGUAACCUGCCCUUGACUUUGGGAUAACUUCAGGAAACUGGGGCUAAUACCGGAUAGGAGCUCCUGCUGCAUGGUGGGGGUUGGAAAGUUUCGGCGGUUGGGGAUGGACUCGCGGCUUAUCAGCUUGUUGGUGGGGUAGUGGCUUACCAAGGCUUUGACGGGUAGCCGGCCUGAGAGGGUGACCGGGCACAAUGGGGCUGGAGUACGGGCCAGGCCUCUUAGGGAAGGAAGAGGGGGGGAAUAUGGAAAAAUGGGGGGAGGCAGGAUGAAGCAAGCCGGGUGGCGGGAGGCGGGCUUUCGGUUGGAAACCCCAUUUGCCUUGGGCGGAACGGUAAUGACCGUAAAGGGGUAAGGAGCACCGGCUAACUUCGUU
rnacentral:rRNA from 1 species